UGUCCCACUACCCACGAAACCCCCCUCCUCCCGUCCACACCGGCUCCCCCAGAUCCACAUCGUCGGGCUGCACCUGCGGCCUCCUCCGUCCACCGCCUCACUGAGGGCCAGCGGCUAGCAUGGAAAACCGCCGUCGAGGUGCUUCCCCUCAUCUCUAUCUUCCCUUUCCGUCUGCCCUCCUUGGCCGGCAGUGGCCAUGGACAUGGGUCUCAUCGCAAAGCUUGAGACCGGAUCCGCCCAUGAUGCUUCAUCUGUCGCCGCCUCCAGGGCAAACCCUGACCCUCCCACCCCUAUGUCCACGUCCACCAGAUCCGCCCCGGGGAGAGAGACGGGAAGUGUGAAGGGCAAACCGCGAUUGGAAGGGCCAUCUCCUCUCCCCCGCACCUCCCCCCGUACGGGUCACCAUGGAGCUGGGCAACGCAAUAAGUCGACAUGUCUGCCUCCAUAGCGCCGCCCAGACUAUCGGUUCCCCUGGAUGACCGCCUCCUCCCCGAGCAUCUGCAGCUGCCUGCUGGUCUUCUCCAUGGGAUGCAACACCGGCUUGGGAAAAGGAGCUCUAUGAACAGGUCAAGAAGGCGGGCCUCUCUAAUUUUGCCUGCCAUCAGAUCUCAUGCUGUCUACCUGAAGUAUCCGGCUUGACUAAUUUGAUUAAGGUUGAUGCACGCCGGCUCUCUGUGCCACCGCGACGUGUCCACCGUCCACAUCGACGACUAUGACUGUCAGCGCCUCUUUGCCUGCUGAUGAUGCUGCCACAUGCUCAACUUUCCGGCAUUCCAGGUGAGGCUCGCUUGCAGUGUUUCCUUUUGUAGACCAAGGUUUGCUUUGGUUGAUGUUAGUUGGAGUUGAGAGAAUCUGUUCGUGCUUAUAAUUUUUUUGCCUGGCUGUUACGGGCUUCUGGCGGUUUGAGUCUGUUAGCCGGCGAAUGGUAAGGUUUCAGCUGGAGCGCUUGGCAAUUGGAUCAUUCCAACACCACCAUUAUGAAUUUAUCUGGAGCAGUGGUGCUUCAUCGUUCAAUAGUUCAAACUAUUAUGUAGACACUCAUGUUUAUACACUGGCAAAUACGAGUAAAAUAUUACAAUUUAUCUGGAGCAGUGGUGCUUCAUCGUUCAAUAGUUCAAGCUAUUAUGAAUAAUCCUCUUUUACAAUUUUCUUUCAGUUUUACCAAUAAUUUAUAUAACAACACUGGCAAAUAGGAGUAAAAUAUUUUGUAUCUGGUAGGCCAAACAAAAAAAGAUAGGAUUAUUCAUGUUCAAAGCCAAUUUCAGUGACCAACUGCCAUGUAAUCCUCAAGUGACAUUGUGACAUUAACUUUUUUUUUCUUUCAAUCUCCAAUACUAGAAAGUUCUGGGUGCUACUUCAUUCGAAUUUUGCCUUAUGGAUUAAACUGAAAUGCAAUCAAAGGGGCACAUAUAUAUUUGCUCUGAUGACCUUCAAUUUCAUCAAAUUUGCUAAAAAAAAAAUUGUUUAGAUUUGUGAUUUGUUAUAGCUUAAGUAAUAUGCAACUUGCCGGAAGACAGUGUAAAUAAAGGUUGGAAAAGUUAGUUCCGCAGUAAUGUACUUUCUUGGGUUUCCUGUGUAUUGUUUUUACCAAAAUAACUCGGUGAGUUCACAGAAGUUCCUCUCUUUGUGUUCUCGGAGUGAUUAUGGUUUUCUCUACAAGCUAUACUAUAGAGAUAGUGUGCGGUGAAUUUUUCUCUGCUGAAAAGGAGAAGCUGAAAACUGUGAAGGCAAAGAUAUGUGCUCCAGUUUUCUUUGCUGAAAAGGACAAGCUAUACUAUAGAGAUAGUCAAAACGAGCUGGGCUUUCUAAUCUUGAGGCAGAGUAUCCGGAAGUAUGUGCUCCAUUUUCUUUUCAUUUAUGUUCUAUCAGUUUGAAGAGUUCUUGUAAGCUGGAGGUCCCCAGCAAGAAAAGCGAUGAUGUAAAACACUAUGCUUUGUGGUACAGUGUCAAUAUUUCACUCUAAGAAUUCCACUGCUAUAAAAAGAGAAAUCAUCUAAUAAAUUAUUGUCUUAUGAUAGUGGAUAUAAUGCCUGCAAGUUGGACUAAAUCAAAUUAAAUGUAGGAUCAGUAUGAAGCCGUACCCGGAAGGCGGCUACUACUCUGAGACCUUCUGCGCCUCCUGCCUUAGUGUAUGUGCAGAUGCCCGAUAUCUUACGUUUUCAGUGCUCGCUUUUCCUAUCUCGAGCUUCUGAAGUUGACUUUUUCCGACCACUCUCUUGUUGGAUAGGAACUACCUGCUCGUGCUCUUUCUUUCAGAAUGAUGAUAUGUACAAUAUACACAAACUGAUAGAGUAGCCUAUUAUGGACAGUGGGAAUUCAGAAUGAUAGUAUAAUGUGCCGUAUAAUGUAUAAUCUGCGGUGCGAUGCGCCUGAUUGGACCGAAUUCUAUCGAGGUUGUGUCAAGUUAGCGUGUACGUGCCCAACAUUGUCUAUGCAUCAGGAAGUGUGCAGAAACCAGGGGUGGGAUUGGGGCCUGGGCCAGACAUAAUUCGUAUGUUUUGCUUAUUUCAUAUACUAUUGCUAAGUUUAUACUACUGUUACAUCCAUCUAGCACUGAAUCUUGUAUAAUGUGUCAUGUGUGCUAUGCCACUAACUGGUUUUAUGUUUGGAAGAUUGCAUUAUUGUACUUCCUGUGCUUCCUCUCGAACAUUAUAUUUACCAUGCUUCCAGGAAAUUAAAAUGGUCGACUUUUCGAAGCCAGUGGGAUGGAUUCACAUAUCAUUAUCUGGCACUGAUACCCGAUUAUCAUAUUCGAGCAACCCAGCAUGAAUAGUGUCAGGCAGCACUUGCACAAGGGCUUGACAAGGCCAAGCUGAGUGUUAAACAAGACCAGCGCCAUGUGACAAUCCACACCGGUGAGGAACGUGGGGACGAGUGGGUGCGCAUGCACAGCCUGCCCUCCCAUUCAUUUUGUUAGCAUGUCUUCACAUCGACAUCGGAUUCAGUUCAUGCGAAGAGGGCACAAGAUGCUACAAGCUUCGAUGCUGAGAAUUUCCAUGACUGCGUGUUGUAUUUGCAGGAGUGGCUACUUGAUGUGUAUGUGUGAGUGAUUUAGUAUGGUGUGGAGAAAACGAGAUGGAAAUGUUUAAUGAUUGUGGCCAUGAGUGUGCUUUUUGCUGACUAGGGAUAUUCUUUGGAGAGGAGACUCGUCAGCUCCUCUAUUGUUGAUAUGUAAGUAUUCCUUUUUUUUUGCAGAUACUCAUCUGUCUUA